rnacentral:rRNA from 1 species
UAGCCGUAAACGAUACUCGCUAGGUGUCGGCCACGGUGCGACCGUUGUCGGUGCCGUAGGGAAGCCGUGAAGCGAGCCACCUGGGAAGUACGGCCGCAAGGCUGAAACUUAAAGGAAUUGGCGGGGGAGCACCACAACGGGCGGAGCUUGCGGUUUAAUUGGAUUCAACGCCGGAAAUCUUACCGGGACCGACAGCAACAUGAAGGCCAGGCUGAAGACUUUGCCGGAUUAGCUGAGAGGAGGUGCAUGGCGUAGUCGUGU